rnacentral:rRNA from 1 species
GACGAGCCACACAAACGUUAUUCGGAAUCACUGGGCUUACAGGGUGCGUAGGCGGCUUGUUAAGUAGGGUGUGAAAGCCCCCGGCUCAACCGGGGAAUUGCGCCCUAAACUGGCGAGCUAGAGUGAGAUAGGGGUAUGUGGAACUUCCGGUGGAGCGGUGAAAUGUGUUGAUAUCGGAAGGAACGCCGGUGGCGAAAGCGACAUACUGGAUCUUGUCUGACGCUGAGGCACGAAAGCCAGGGGAGCGAAAGGG